GAUGAAGAACGCAGCGAAAUGCGAUACUUGGUGUGAAUUGCAGAAUCCCGUGAAUCAUCGAGUCUUUGAACGCACAUUGCGCCCCCUGGUAUUCCGGGGGGCAUGCCUGUCCGAGCGUCAUUGCUGCCUCAAGCACGGCUUGUGUGUUGGGCCUCCGUCCUCCUCCCGGGGGACGGGCCCGAAAGGCAGCGGCGGCACCGCGUCCGGUCCUCGAGCGUAUGGGGCUUCGUCACCCGCUCUUGUAGGCCCGGCCGGCGCUUGCCGACACAUCAAUCUUUUUUCCAGGUUGACCUCGGAUCAGGUAGGGAUACCCGCUGAACUUAAGCAUAUCAAUAAGCGGAGGA
rnacentral:misc_RNA from 1 species